rnacentral:rRNA from 1 species
GAUGAACGCUGGCGGCGUGCCUAAUACAUGCAAGUCGAGCGAACGGACGAGAAGCUUGCUCCUCUGAUGUUAGCGGCGGACGGGUGAGUAACACGUGGAUAACCUACCUAUAAGACUGGGAUAACUUCGGGAAACCGUAGCUAAUACCGGAUAAUAUCUUGAACCGCAUGGUUCAAUAGUGAAAGACGGUUUUGCUGUCACUUAUAGAUGGAUCCGCGCCGCAUUAGCUAGUUGGUAAGGUAACGGCUUACCAAGGCAACGAUGCGUAGCCGACCUGAGAGGGUGAUCGGCCACACUGGAACUGAGACACGGUCCAGACUCCUACGGGAGGCAGCAGUAGGGAAUCUUCCGCAAUGGGCGAAAGCCUGACGGAGCAACGCCGCGUGAGUGAUGAAGGUCUUCGGAUCGUAAAACUCUGUUAUUAGGGAAGAACAAAUGUGGAAGUAACUGUGCACGUCUUGACGGUACCUAAUCAGAAAGCCACGGCUAACUACGUG